GCCGAGAUGGCGAAAUGGCAGCCGCAGGGGACUUAAAAUCCCCUGGUCAGUAAUGGCCGUGCGGGUUCGACUCCCGCUCUCGGUA
rnacentral:tRNA from 1 species